UCCUUCUUAGCUCAGUUGGUAGAGCGCGUCACUAGUAUGUAUGUUCUACACCAUGACGAGGUCAGUCGUUCAAGUCGGCUAGAAGGAA
rnacentral:tRNA from 1 species